UACGAAGGGGGCUAGCGUUGCUCGGAAUCACUGGGCGUAAAGGGUGCGUAGGCGGGUCUUUAAGUCAGGGGUGAAAUCCUGGAGCUCAACUCCAGAACUGCCUUUGAUACUGAGGAUCUUGAGUUCGGGAGAGGUGAGUGGAACUGCGAGUGUAGAGGUGAAAUUCGUAGAUAUUCGCAAGAACACCAGUGGCGAAGGCGGCUCACUGGCCCGAUACUGACGCUGAGGCACGAAGGCCAGGGGAGCAAACGGG
rnacentral:rRNA from 1 species